CUGAACACCUAAUAUAUGCCAACUGUUUGCAUGCUCACAAGUCAUUCAAGAAAAUUUAAAUUAGGAAAUUUCGCCUCCAAAAAGUGUCAGCUGUAAUUUGGGGAUAGAGUAACUAGUUCCUGUGUGUUCCCUCGGUGUCGUGGAUGUGACUGUGGGCCCCUGAUAAAUAGCAUUCUUAACAGAUCUUUGCAAUCAAAGCCGUCAAUAAAAUGC